rnacentral:rRNA from 1 species
UACGGAGGGAGCUAGCGUUGUUCGGAAUUACUGGGCGUAAAGCGCACGUAGGCGGCUUUGUAAGUCAGUGGUGAAAUCUCCGGGCUCAACCCGGAAACUGCCAUUGAUACUAUCAGUCUUGAAUCUUGUUGAGGUAGGCGGAAUAUAUCAUGUAGCGGUGAAAUGCUUAGAUAUGAGAUAGAACACCGAUUGCGAAGGCAGCUUACUAGACAAGCAUUGACGCUGAGGCACGAAAGCGUGGGGAGCAAACAGG